AUCGAACGCUGGCGGCGUGGCUAAGGCAUGCAAGUCGAGCGGACUCUGCCAAGGGGUAACCCGAGGCUUAGUUAGCGGCGAGCGGGUGAGGAAUACGUGGACAACGUGCCCUGGACACGGGGAUAGCGGCGGGGGCAACCCCUUUGCGAAAGCGCCGGUAAUACCCGAUGAUCCCACGAGAUCGCAUGGUUUUGUGGGCAAACGCUCAGGCGGUCCAGGAUCGGUUCACGUCCUAUCAGCUAGUUGGUGGGGUAACGGCCCACCAAGGCGACGACGGGUAGCGGGCGUGAGAGCGUGACCCGCCACAUCGGGACUGAGACACGGCCCGGACACCUACGGGUGGCUGCAGCAACGAAUAUUCCGCAAUGGACGCAAGUCUGACGGAGCGACGCCGCGUGCAGGAUGAAGUCCUUCGGGAUGUAAACUGCUGUCAGGGGUGAGGAAACAAAUGACCAGCCCCAGAGGAAGCACCGGCUAACUCCGUGCCAGCAGCCGCGGUAAUACGGAGGGUGCAAGCGUUGUUCGGAAUCACUGGGCUUAAAGCGCGUGUAGGCGGGAUGCCAAGUGUCGUGUGAAAGCCCCGGGCUCAACCCGGGAAUUGCGCGGCAAACUGGUAUUCUUGAGGCAAGUAGAGGUGACUGGAACGACCGGUGGAGCGGUGAAAUGCGUAGAUAUCGGUUGGAACGCCGGAGUGAAAUGCGUAGAUAUCGGUUGGAACGCCGGAGGCGAAAGCGGGUCACUGGGCUUGUCCUGACGCUAAGACGCGAAAGCGUGGGGAGCAAACAGAUUAGAUACCCUGGGUAGUCCACGCCGUAAACGAUGCGCACUAGUUCUGAGAGACUCUCACGUCCUCGUGCCGAAGCAAAGUGCUAGUGCGCCGCUGGGGAGUACGCGCAGCUUAACUGAAUGAUGACGGGGCUUCACACAGCGUUUGGUGC
rnacentral:rRNA from 1 species